rnacentral:rRNA from 1 species
UACGUAGGGGGCGAGCGUUAUCCGGAAUUACUGGGCGUAAAGCGCACGCAGCGGUUCGCCAAGUUUUGGAGUGACAGUUGUCGGCUCAACCGACAAAGGACUUCAAAAACUGGUGAACUUGAGGACGAGAGAGGAACAUGGAACUCCAGGUGUAGUAGUGAAAUGCGUAGAUAUCUGGAAGAACACCAGUGGCGAAGGCGGCUACCUGGACCAGCACUGACACUGAGGCACGAAAGCGUGGGGGAGCAAACAGG